UUUCUGCACCCUGAUCCACCCAGGAGAGGGACCAGGGUCAGAAACCCCACCAUUAGGUAGCACACCUGUCCCCAGUCCCCCUCCUUGAUCCAAGCUGUCGUCACAGUGCAGGCACUGGUCAGAGCUUGGCCAGAGCCGAGUGACCCUGUGACUCAGGACUGCAAGCAGGGGGCACUCUUACUCUGAGGCCUCUGUUCAUGUUAAGUUGAGGGGUGGCCUGAGGGUCCUGCUGUGCUCCCAGGGGACACAACUGGGUCAUCAGCACUCCAGAGCUGUGGCCACAGGUUCAAGGAAGCACCCUAGAAGGUGGGCAGUUGUCCAGGAGGUACCUGGGUCUCAGGGGCCAAGCUAAAGGCUUUUUAAGGCCUGGCCUGAAGGACAGUCAGGGGUGUGACCUCAGGGCUCCGAACCUGCCUGCAGGCUUCCCCAGUACAGACCAGGGCAGAGGGGUUUGCAGCAGAGGGCCCUGCCCCCGGGUCUGUGCUGGGAGGAGUGGGGCCGGGGGCACGAGUCAGACUUGGAGGCUGUUCCCACAGAUGUCAGAGAGAGCUGCCCCAUGGCUGGAGGGUGGGCUCCGGUGACCUAGAGGGAUGGAGCCGUCUCGGGGCGUCUCUGGCGUGACUCAGCAGCCCACCUUAGCAUGGGAUAGGGGGUUCUGGCUCCAUGUUGUGUCAGAACCUGGAGAAAAAGCAGGAGCCAAGUGGUGGAGAGAUGGCCACGAUCCGGGCUGUCAGAGGAGGGUGAUGGGUUAGCAGGCACCUCAGACGGCCAGUAACGGGGGGGAGGGUGGAUGCAGGGACUCUGGGGGUGUGGUGGUCCCAGGUGCCUCGAGCCCCAGCUGCACACUCACAGCACUGGCAGCAAGGGCUUCUGCCUGGCACUGGGCUCCCUGUGCUCACAGUCACAGCCCCUGCUGGGUGUCUGCCUACCGCAUGGCUGUCACCUCCCUGCCCUUCUCUGUGCCCUGGGCUGCACCUCAGCAGGGUGAGGAGGACAUGGGUCCUGUCCCAGCCUUGCUGGGGAAGUGGACCAUGCGUGGUUCAGUGCCCUUUCUCAUGGUGUUGUCUCUCUGUAAGCAGAAGCCGCCCAGGCAUGGAUGGCUGGCAGUGCAAUGGGUAAGCUGACAUUGGCCAUGGACUCUUCAUCUAGGAGGCAGAACUAGCAGGCCUGUGUGUAUGGGCAGUGGUUAGAGGAGUGCUAUAUGGUCCUCCAGGGACAGCAGUCCCCAGGAGAUCUGUUGAGGCCCACAUGCCCCAGUGCAGGCCUGCAGCUCUGGGGUCCCUGCCUGUGGGCCACUGUGACCCACUUGCCUGGAUGAGAUGGGACUGGCUUGAGGAUGCUUGUCCUGUGGACAGAGCUCAAGCCCCUAGGCUCCCCUAGUUGGAAGGUCUGGGUGCCGUGGUCUGCCCCUUUGCUGGCUCCUCCCAGCUGAAUUGUCCACAGCCUCCUGAGCUGCACCCAUGGCCUCUCUCAGAGGACACUGCUGGGCUCACGCCAUCCUGUCUCCAUUCCCAGCGUAAACAUCAGGAGGGCCGCCGACUGCAAAAAUGGAACAAGGUUCUGUGAAAUUUCACCAAGUACCGCAGCAGCAAGAAGUUCCACUGGAGAAUUGAGAAAGGCAUCCCCGCCCAGGUGAGCGGCAAGAUGUGGGCCAUGCUGCUCUCUGUGGAUACCAGGAAGGCCCAGAACCAUGGCAAAUUUGAGGAGAUGAAGGAACCGGCCAGGUUAUGCUCAGAUCAGGUCCAACAGAUCGAUGAAGAGGUGGCAUGCAUGUUCAGAAGUCACGUGAUGUUCUGAGAGAGAUAUGGAGCCAAGUGAGGCCUCGGUGCUAGAGGGGCCCUGGGGAGGGAGGUGCAAGGGUCCUGGGACACAUGGGGUCCUAGGAGAGACUAGGGCUCAAACCUAAAGCAUAAUUGCUCUAGGACAGAAAAAAAUGGAUCCAUGGCCUUCUAUUUAUACUAAACAGUUUGCUUUCCCAAAGACACUUUGGUGGGAAUGAAAUGAAAAGAAACACAAGGGGAGACAGUAUUUGCAAAAUACAGAAAAUGAAGUUCAUAAUUCUCAAUAACAAGAAAGCAAAUGAGGGUUUUCUGCCCUGACAUGGGCCAUGGCUCAGGAAGGCCCCUUCACGACAGCACACACAAUUCUCAAUGCAUGAACACGCUUAGCACCUAAACCACAACGGGGCACCAGCACACAGCUGUGAGAUCUGGGGAACUAAAAUCACUGAGGACGCCGGGUGCUCAGGACAAUGUGAGGUGCACACCACUCUGGUUCAUUGCAGGAACAGAGCACAGUGGCCCAGGCCCUCGGCAGCACCCAGGGCCGUUUCUCACAAUGAGAGACACAAACCUUCCACACGAACCCCCAACACACAGGCACAUGUACACAACCACUAGAACAGCAUGAGUGCACAGAAAACCCUCAUGCAAGAUUCACGGUUGUGUUCACAGUCACUGGACACAGGAGUAGCCUGCAUGAUGCCCGGUGGGGAAAUGGAUAAGCAACCAUGUCACUAGCUGAAUCCUAGAACAGGAUUCAGUGAGAGGCAGGACGAGGCUCGGCUCUGGGCUGACCUGGAUGCAUCUCAGGUGCAUCCUGCUAAGAGAGGAUGCAUCCCCCAAAGGCUACAGAUGCUAUGAUCCACUCACAGGACAUCUGCAAGAGGCCAAACCCUGGGACACACAACAGGGCAGUGGUGACCACGGGCUGGGGGAGGUGGGGAGUUUGGCCACUGAGGGCCCGUGGGGAACACAUAGGUGACAGGAGCUGCUCCCUACCACGCUGAAUGUGCAUGGGAGGCUGACUCUCCACGGCUUAGACCCACGGGACUGCACCUCGCACAGUGGGACACUCACCUGUGCAAUGAACACCCACCUGGGGAAACGAAACUGCACAUGACUGCACCCUGGGAGGUGUGUGUGUCCCUGCAGGCAGCACUC